CCUACGUGAGGCAGCAGUGAGGAAUAUUGGUCAAUGGUCGGGAGACUGAACCAGCCAAGCCGCGUGAGGGAUGAAGGUACAGAGUAUCGUAAACCUCUUUUGUCAGGGAACAAAGUCGGGGACGUGUCCCCGGAUGAGUGUACCUGAAGAAAAAGCAUCGGCUAACUCCGUGCCAGCAGCCGCGGUAAUCCGGAGGAUGCGAGCGUUAUCCGGAUUUAUUGGGUUUAAAGGGUGCGCGGCGGGCUGGUAAGUCAGGGGUAAAAGCCCGGGGCUUAACCCUGGCGCGCCGUUGAAACUGGCGGUCUAGAGUUGGAGAGAGGUAUGCGGAAUGCGCGGUGUAGCGGUGAAAUGCUUAGAUAUCGCGCAGAACUCCGAUUGCGAAGGCAGCAUGCCGGCUCCACACUGACGCUGAGGCACGAAAGCGUGGGUAUCGAACAGGAUUAGAUACCCUAGUAGUC
rnacentral:rRNA from 1 species